UGUAACUUUCCUUUUUGAAGAGGGCACGUUGAUUCCUCUCCUUUGCCAAGUGAGUUACUUAAGUUGCAAGAAUUCAGGAUGUAUCAUUUCAAAAGAUAAGCCAUUAUUUCAGAUAAUAAGAAGCUUACAUUGUGUUGUUGCUCGACAAUGUUCAAGUGUUUUCCACACCCUCCGGAGGUCCAAGGUUGUACAGCUUCAGAGUUCAGAGAUUGAGACUGAGCCCAGCCCUCCUCUCCCACAGUCUAGCUCCCUGUCACAGAGCAGAGAAGAUUUCUGCCACAGGAUUCUAUGUCAGACAAGAUGACUCCCCACCAACAACCUCACUCUAUUAUAAACACAUAAAGUAUGCAAUCAAUGUUUGUAAAUGCUCCAGUCAAAUGCACUCUUACUGAUAGAGGUCUAUAUCUGUUGCUUCAUUAAUGAAGAAGUGUCUCCUGAGCCCGCCACAUCCUACAGCCCUUUUCAGAUGCCGAGGUUCUCAAACAAACCCGAAGGACUAAAGGUUGGCGUGGUCAUGGCAGAAACACCUCCAGCAGGAUAGAGAGGUAACAAAAGGAGGAAGGCUGGGUCUUGGGAAACUACCCUCUCCGGCUGAACUGAUGGGCCGGAAGAAGAAGGGGAGGACAGGGGAGCAGCACAGGGCAGCCAGGUGGUGCAAGCCAGAGUGGCAGCAGUGAUGCAGCACAAUGGGGACCUCUGCAGGAGACCGAGCUCUAUUGAUCAGCAAGUGUGAAUAUCCCUUAUUCUACUGUGAUGUCUUUGCAGAGUCUCUUUGGAACAAGCAUCCCAUCUUGCUCCUGGUGGGAAUCUGAUGAUGUCAUUUGUCCUGGCAACUGCUGAUCGACAAGCCAAGGGGGGUUGGCAAGGCCCUUGUCUGUCCCAUAAUGAAUUCUGGGACAAUGGGCACACUGCAGAGUAGUAAUUGUAUUUUAAUAUAUUUAUCCAAAGCAGUUCACCUUGUAUAAAGGGGAAAUAGUUUGUAUUGAUCAGAUUAAGAGUUUGAGGGAAAUGUUUUGUAUUGUUACAUUACAUUUGUUCAGAUUUUACAGCUUAAAAACGCUGUACAACACUUGGACAGUUCAUUUUAUACCGGAUAGCCAGGCAAUGAAAUAAAGGGAGGAAAUAAAUACAGAAAACUGAACAUUUUAAUUUGCAUUCCAAGUGUGACUAGUAUGGUCUUGAACUUGGGAGCUUUAUAUGAGGAAAUAUAUUAGAGAAAACAAACGCUGAAGGAUUUGCCUUGGCUGCUCACUUCACUGCUGUUUUGACAGCGAGCCCAUUCCUCUUGUCUGAGAAGGCUUUCAGUUCUCGAAGGGCUGGCGAGGCAGUUUUUGAGGUAGUGAAGUGGGAGACUAGCGGCCUCAGCCUUCGACUGAGUCCAUCUCUUAAAGGACUUUGACCUUGUUCUGUCAAACCCAGACAACCUGACUAGACAUUUAUUUCUUUAUUUAUGUUUAGCUUUCAAGGGGAAUAUGCUGUGCGGUAAGCCAUUUCCUUCGAAAGCCAAAGCAUAUAAAUCCAUUUAUUAUAAUGUAUAGUGCUGCAAACCCAUUGAACUGUGUUCAGUUAUUAAAAUCAGUUAUUUUUAUCAGCAACCUG